AGUGAACGCUGGCGGUAGGCCUAACACAUGCAAGUCGAACGGCAGCACAGUAAGAGCUUGCUCUUACGGGUGGCGAGUGGCGGACGGGUGAGGAAUACAUCGGAAUCUACUUUUUCGUGGGGGAUAACGUAGGGAAACUUACGCUAAUACCGCAUACGACCUACGGGUGAAAGCAGGGGAUCUUCGGACCUUGCGCGAUUGAAUGAGCCGAUGUCGGAUUAGCUAGUUGGCGGGGUAAAGGCCCACCAAGGCGACGAUCCGUAGCUGGUCUGAGAGGAUGAACAGCCACACUGGAACUGAGACACGGUCCAGACUCCUACGGGAGGCAGCAGUGGGGAAUAUUGGACAAUGGGCGCAAGCCUGAUCCAGCCAUACCGCGUGGGUGAAGAAGGCCUUCGGGCUGUAAAGCCCUUUUGUUGGGAAAGAAAAGCAGCAGGUUAAUACCCCGCUGUUCUGACGGUACCCAAAGAAUAAGCACCGGCUAACUUCGUG
rnacentral:rRNA from 1 species